AUGACCUCCACCAUGGCCUGGGCCCCUCUCCUCCUCACCCUCCUGGCUCACUGCACAGGAUCCUGGGCCCAGUCUGUGCUGACUCAGCCGUCCUCAGUGUCGGGGGCCCUGGGUCAGAGGGUCACCAUCUCCUGCACUGGAAGCUUCUACAACCUUGGGAGUCAUAGCAUACAGUGGCACCAACAGCUCCCAGGAAAGGCCCCCAAACAAAUCAUCUAUGGUGAUAGCUACCGACCCUCAGGGGUCCCUGAUCGAUUCUCUGGCAUCAGGUCUGGCAGCACAGCCACCCUGACCAUCACGGGGCUGCAGGCUGAGGACGAGGCCGAUUAUCACUGCUUGACAUGGGACGGCAGUAUCAGCAGUUACACAGUGCAGCAGGCCCGUGGGGAAAAACACCAGCAGGUGGAAGUCUAUAGCAGCUUUGUUAACCCCAUAGACUGA